UACUAUACUAAGAUGACAGAGAAACUAGAAUAUUAAAAGAUAUAGUCUUAAAAUUCAAAGAAUUUGGCGGUAAUUUAGUCUUUUCAGAGGAACCUGUUUUUUAAUCGAUAAACCACGAAGAAUCUUACUUACUUUUGUAAAUUUAUAAGUUUGUAUACCGUCAUUAUCAGAUAAUAUUUAGAGAUAUUAUUAUUGUAUAUUUAAAUAAUAAGAUAAAUUAGAUCAAGGUGCAGCUAAUAAGUAAGUUAAAAUGGGUUACAAUUAGUUAGUAUUAAUAAUGGAUAGAGAUUUGAAAUAGUCUUUGGAAGGAGGAUUUGAUUGUAAUUGAAAUUAGUAUGAUUAAAAGAUAUAAGCUCUAAAUUAU
rnacentral:rRNA from 1 species